GGACAGGAAGGAAGCAGCAAUUACCAAAGGUGC
rnacentral:SRP_RNA from 14 species